rnacentral:rRNA from 1 species
UACGGAGGGGGCUAGCGUUGUUCGGAAUUACUGGGCGUAAAGCGCACGUAGGCGGCUUUGUAAGUUAGAGGUGAAAGCCCGGAGCUCAACUCCGGAACUGCCUUUAAGACUGCAUCGCUUGAACGUCGGAGAGGUAAGUGGAAUUCCGAGUGUAGAGGUGAAAUUCGUAGAUAUUCGGAAGAACACCAGUGGCGAAGGCGACUUACUGGACGACUGUUGACACUGAGGUGCGAAAGCGUGGGGAGCAAACAGG